CACACUGGGGCCGGAGCCGUUGCAGAUCCUGUCCUCAGUCUCGUCAGCAGCUUGGAGUGGAUGAGGCCUUUCUAUCCAGGCCCUGUGUGCUUUCACCAGAGGCUGGAGGGACGCAGCACGAGCCCAGGCACUUUCUGAAGUCCUCCGGCAACGCAGCAGCCUCCCUGAGCUCACAGCGCGGUCUCAAAGAUGACCAGGUUACCGUCGGCUGUUUCUGCGUGUCCGUUUGAUAUGCUGGGAUGGCUUCUACUGUCGUAAGCCUGAGAAGACAUGGUUUGGAAAGUCAGAGCUUCAGAAUCCCUGAGUGAGAGGACUCACCAGUAUCCGGUCGCUGUCUAUGAUGGUGUUGAGACGAUGAGCUAUGGUCAGCACGGUGCAUUCUCUGAACUUGUCCCGUAUGGUUUUCUGGAUCAGUUCAUCUGUCCUGUGGAGAGGCACGGCACACAGCAAGCAGAACACAGCUAAAAGCUCAUCUCCACUGUCGACUUUCCAUGUGGCACGUUUAAUCCUCCAGUUACACACACAAAUUACACAGCGUGUCAAGAGGCAGUAUUUCACAUUACCAUAUCGAGACACCCGUGUCAGCAGUACCUGGGGUCCACGUUGGCUGUGGCCUCAUCGAUGAUGAGGAUGCGGUUCUUCCUCAGGAUGGCUCUGGCCAGACACACCAGCUGUCUCUGGCCCACGCUGAAGUUGGAGCCCGACUCGGCCAGAACGGUCUCCAGCUUACAAGGCAGCUCCUCCACCACAGACUUGAGCUGCACCUGCAGGGAACAUUAAGAUCUGAUUACUCUGUGUGCACUGAUCUCCAAGCCAUGACAAUGGAAUUAAAGCCUACAUAAUCCAGACAGUCUCUGUAGUUGUGACUGAUUAAUAAGACCAGGAUGUGUGUGAGCACAAACAGUGAUCCUGGUUUAAAUUAAUCUAAAAUUAAAACCGUAAUAACA